rnacentral:rRNA from 1 species
UAAUACGGAGGGUGCAAGCGUUAAUCGGAAUUACUGGGCGUAAAGCGCACGCAGGCGGUUUGUUAAGUCAGAUGUGAAAUCCCCGGGCUCAACCUGGGAACUGCAUUUGAAACUGGCAAGCUAGAGUCUCGUAGAGGGGGGUAGAAUUCCAGGUGUAGCGGUGAAAUACGUAGAGAUCUGGAGGAAUACCGGUGGCGAAGGCGGCCCCCUGGACGAAGACUGACGCUCAGGUGCGAAAGCGUGGGGAGCAAACAGGAUUAGAUACCCUGGUAGUCCACGCUGUAAACGAUGUCGAUUUGGAGGUUGUGCCCUUGAGGCGUGGCUUCCGGAGCUAACGCGUUAAAUCGACCGCCUGGGGAGUACGGCCGCAAGGUUA